UCCAAAGCCCAGGCUGACCCCCCACCCCUUCAACCUUUGCAGCAAUGCUGGCAGCACUAUUUCCCAAAGACAACCUCUGGAUAUGACGCUGAGCACGUGCACUCAACUUCUUCUUUGGUCGACCAUGGCGAGGCCUGUUCUGAGUGGAACCUGUCCUGUUAAACCGCUGUAUGGUCUUGGCCACCGUUCUGCAGCUCAGUGUCAGGGUCUUGACCCAUGAUUUUCUGCGCAGUCUAAUAAGGAUGCUGUUAUUUGGACUCCAAUCUCUAUGAUGACCACCCAUGUCUUUGUCAACUUCAUGCUAAAAGUGCCCAAAGCCCGUGGUGGUGGCAGUGCAUGGAGUUUGUGUGGAAGCAGGAGUGGAUCUAAUCACAGCCUGUGAUAUUCGUCUGUGCACACAGGAUGCCUGGUUUCAGGUGAAGUCGUGUGUUCCCUGAUAGUCAAUGAUUGCUGGAGCUCUGUAAAUAGCAGGUGAGAUUGCAGGCCGGAGUCCCGUCGCUGUCCAGGGAACCAAAGUCAACCUCCCCUACUCCUGAGACCACAGUGUGACAGAGCCUAGACUACAUGGCUACUUGGAACAUGAACAUGUUGCAGACACAGGAUCUUAUGAAGUCAGCGCAGGCAGCCCUGGAAAAGAAGAGUCCGAAAGACGUGCCCUUCUCCAAGCUUUAAAGGAGAAGAUCCAGGGCUGUUGAAGCUGCGGUGGAACUGAGACAUCAUCAUCCACAUAUCUUCAGUUCUUCUUGCUAAGAGAACGAGAAACUCGGACACAACAGUACAUCCUGACCAUUGGUACUGUGUACACAUCAACAUACACACACGUCUCCAUGCUGGACAUCUCAGGAGCUUUCACACAGUGCUAGGAAUAUCCCGGGACAGAGAAACGCACCUUCUAAGUGAGCGAGUUUAGCGUCAACCGGUGAAAUUUGCUGUAGCGUGAACACUUUGCCUCUGUGAGCUUCACUCUCCGUAGGGUUCACUGUAAUUAGACAUAAAAUGUACAUAGUUUAUUUUUCAUGCAUUUAGGAUUUCAUGUUGUGUGUGUGUGUGUGUUUUUUUUUUAUUUUAUUUUUUUUAUUUUUUUUAUUUACUCUUCGAGGAAAAGAAAUGAUCUUUCGAGGCAGCUUCUUCAUCACUACCUGCUCCGUUUGACUCAAAAAUGUAACGACCGGUUUCAAAAAGUCACGAUGUCUUCAGUUCAUGAGAUUUUACUGUUGAAUUUAAACAGGAAAUGUGAAAUAUUUUUUCCCUUUGUUUCCUCUACUGUCUUUU
ensembl:lncRNA